rnacentral:lncRNA from 1 species
UCAAAUAGGGGUAAUGGGGUUGGGUUUUCCUAGGUCAAAAAUAGGAUGUGAUAGGUGAAAUUUUUAGGAUUUGAUGGGUGAAAAUUUUUUAGAAGAGUGGACGGUUGGGGGGGGAAGUGGUGAAUUUAAAAUAGGGUAGUAGAGUUGUAGUUUCCUAGAUGAAAAGAUAUGAUUUGAUGGGUGUUGUUUUUUUUUUUUAAUUUUGAAAAGGAAUGUACGGUUGGUAGUGUUAAAUUGGGUUUUAUUUUUGGUUUUUCUUGUUUUUUUUAGAAAGGGUGGUUGGGGCAUUUUUGGGCUUAAUUUUGGGUUUGAAUUUGGUAGGCAUGAUGGGUUUGGGUUUUGGUUAAUGGGUUAGCUUGGGUUUUGGAUUGGUUAGAUGGUGGGUAGGUAGAGUGAGCCUUGGCUGAAAUAAAAAGAAUUUUAUGGGUUGUCAUGUGGAAUUUAAUUUUGUCUAGGAAUGUUUC